rnacentral:tRNA from 1 species
GGGGUGUGGCUCAGUUGGCUAGAGCACCUGCCUUGCAAGCAGGGGGUCAUGAGUUCGAAUCUCAUCAUCUCC